AUGUAUGCGAAGAUCAAUGUGGAUGCGGCGACCGCAACCAACCGAGGAGUUGCUGCUGCUAUCUGUCGAGAUCAAGCUGGCAUUUUUCAAGGUGCUUCGGCUCUGGUUAUCAAGGGAACCAAUGAUCCACUAACGCUCGAAGCAUUAGCAGUCAGAGAGGCUUUGGCGCUUGCCGAUGAUCUUAAUAGUCGCAGAAUACAUGUCGCUACUGACUGCAAAGUUGUACUGGACGACAUCAAGAACAAAACACCAGCUAUCUAUGGAGCUAUUCUGCAUGAAAUCAUAGACCAUAGUUCCACUUUUAUUUCAUGUACCUUUGUGCAUGAGUUUAGGAGCUCCAAUUUCGAGGCUCACAAUCUAGCGAAGCAUAGUUUGAAUUUGGGGGUUGGCCGCCAUGUGUGGUUAGGCAAUCCUGGUAAUCUUUCUUUUGUACCUUUGAACAUUGGCACAAGUUAA
rnacentral:rRNA from 1 species